AGGCAGAGGCAGCCUGUGACUGAUUGACUGACUGAGUGAGUACAGGCAAUUGCUGCUCAGAGACCAACAUACAACACCAAACUGACUGGCAUGUCCGGCAAUGAAAAAGACCAGAAGAAGGACAUCUCUGAAAAGGCAGAGAGAGAGAGGGAGGGGAGGGGGGCUGGUGGUUGGGGUAGUGGGAGAAGAGAGAAAGGGAUGACUUAAAUUUGUGCAAGCAGGUUGACAGGAGCCAAGCUGUCAUUUGAAGGGAACUGGCCUCUUCAGAAAACAUGCAGGAAAAAGUUCCUGCCAUGGAUGAACAGUGAGCUGCACAGUUCUUAAGGUGCAGAAUCCACCCACAACUUGAAAAUGUGCCGAUAAAUAUUACUGCUCAAGUCCUGAUACUCAUCGUUCCUGAUUACCGCAAGUAGCCAUCCAGUCUGUCACCUGGAUGAUGCUCUGUUGAUAGAAGUGAACCAGGUCCUUCUCUACACCAUCAUUCUCAUCCCAAAGAAGAAGUAUAAAGAUGGAAGUGGCUUGAAGCUAACAGAUCUGCUAAAGAGGAAGGAUACUGGAGAACGAACAACUAUACUGCCUCAAUGCUCAACUGCAUAAUGUAUCAGCUCCUGUAGUUAAGAAAAAUCAUUAUUAGCUGCACUCUGAAGAUAACUUGAAUUACUGAAAGCUGAAACAGGAAGCAGAGUCGUACUGUUUACCGAACAUGAUGUACUGUACUUCUGUACAGUGGUGAACUGUUAAUCCAGAAACCUUGGUAGUCCAGCAACAAGUCUGCACUGUGAAUGAUGCUGGCAUGAUCCUGUGAAUGUCUGAGUCGAGGUGCAGCAGAUCAAAGAUGUAGUGAGACUGGCUCUCCCCCCCCUCACCCAACCCCCCAUCACCAAUGAAGCAAGUCCUGAGCGCUAUGAUAAAAGACGAUCCUAAGAUGUACAUUGAACUUUAGGUUGAUGAAAUAUCACCUACACGUUUGAGUUCCAGCUUUCCUGGAAUACUACCACGGAUACCUACGAUUAUAGUGAGAUUUUCCAAGGAUGAAUCAAGAGGGUUUGAAUGAAAGACAUGAGAUUGGUUGAUGCUCACAGGAAUGAAAAUGACGACAAGGUGACAGAUUGCAAAUGAAAUGUACACAGAAGUGUGAUAAGGCCAGAUAUAAAUGUAAAUCUAAGCCAUCAAAAUUACAAAGCUACCGAAUUCACUCCUGUCACGACUAGAACAGUUUACAUAAUGUUCCAACAGAAGUCUGGAACCAGGCAACAAGCUCCGAGGAGGAUGUUAUAACAUGACUGAAAAAUUAAAGGAAACUUUACACUCCACUGGCAUCUAUGGUUAUGGGAGGAACUAUCAUGGAAAGUGACCUAAGUGAAGUAUGCUGCUGACUUUCCCCAAAGAACAAGCAAAUACAGAGCCUCUCAACCCCACCCCACCCAUUGUCUGAAGCUCAAAGGACAAGUGCUACUGGGAAAGGAGGGGCAAAGUGGACGUGCUUCUCGCAACUAAUCACUAACCAGCGAUUUCUGGUGAAAGUGGAUUUUUGAGGAAUGUCAGAUUAAAGGAAGGGGAUACAGAUAAGCUUUCAAGAGUAAAGAGGGAAUCAAUGGAAAUAUCAACGUCAAGUCCUCACAUGUGCAGUUAAACGUGGAAAUCAUGAGGUUGCUGUCCAAGAUCUCCGACUAGUCCAGAUGCUGCACAAUAUGGGCUGGAUGAAAUUGAGCAACGGGCUGGAUCCAGACCACGGGGACCCCACCCCUGGGCUAAGGAGUACAGUCAAGAGGGUUGAAGGAGAAGUCGCUGCAGCUGCUGGCCCUCUCCUGUUUGGACAAGGGCGAGGAGCUGCCACUACAGCAGGGACCCUCGUUGGUUGCCAGGUCCAAGCAAGAAUCGAGGGCAACCAAAGAGACAGACUGCAACAACUGGGAGAAAGAUAUACGCUGUUUAACUAACCUUUCCUCACCUAUAAAAACAUCUCUCCAUAAAUGUGUGCACAAAUACAGCUAACCUGCAUCUCUUUUCUCCCCCCCGUCGGUCUCUCUCUCUCUCUCUCACACACACACACAGACACAGACACACACACACACAGAAAGAACUGGCUUGUUACAAGGACUUGUUUUUAGUUCACUUAAAUCGCGGAUAGGCAAACAUUUGGGGCAACAAUAGGCAAUCGUGUGUCUAAGGACUUUCGCAUGGGUAAACAAAAUUGCUAAAGAACAAAUCGCGAACUGCGGGACUUUACUGUAACUUUGUUGCUUGUGGAAACUAAACACAGGAACAUCUGAACAAGUCUGGUCAUACUGACCUCUGCACACAGAAAAUGCUUUAAGCUAAUGUAUCAGAACAUAAGAUGCUAAGGCAGCCAAGGACUCAAGUUAGAGAUUAAUUCAUCAGCACAAAAACAGAUGCAUUACCAACAGCAAUGUGGCCAUGGUGAAAUCUUUUUCCUCAGGCUUUUAUCCCCCCUUGGCUUUUCAUUUUUGAAGAUUGUAACAUUUUUUUGAGAUAUAGUUCCUCGCGUGCUGGUUUGCCCUCAAGUACCUUAUCGAGGUGGCCAUUAUUCGUGGGUCAGCCGAGAUGGUGAAUGUUGGCAGGACUAUUUUAUGAUAUUGUAGCUGAGGCGAAUCUCACACUCACAUGCAGUUUCAUCAGGGGGCUCCUAGAUACUGGGAACCCUGACAGAUUUUUCCUUCCUUAACCUACAGUGCUGAGAGAACAGUGCCUAUACAACCACCCUGGCUGAGCUUUGCUAAUUUAGCACAAGUCAGGAAUCAAACCUACACCUCCCUUCCUUGAAUGGCUUUCAGGUCAUUCAGAGAGAGCCUUUUUUUAAACCACACAAUAUAACACCAGGAGAAACAGAUAGAGUUUGAUGAAAUUUUUGCAGUAAUUCUAUCAUUAGACACGUAGGAAAAUUACAGAGGGAAAUGCUCAGGCCAAAAUACCUUCAUUCAUGCUUAGGGCUUGAAAUUACUCUGUGAUAAAAGCGUAGAAACAAUUAACACAUUCAUGUGAAAUUCCUUUCUCUGUCAUGUUAAUGAAGGCAUUCACCCACUGUUAAAAUCAGAAAGUAAUUUCAAGAAAAUGUCUUGUUUAUGGGCUAAGGUGCACAUUCAAGGCUUAGAAUUUAAACAAAGAUCUUUGCAUUGUGACUGAAGAGAGGCUAAAUGCACCAGAAUUACUUUUACCUAUGCAGUUUAGGAAAUGAAUGAAUGAAUGAAGCAGAUAAACUGACCAGUGAUAAAUGAAGUGACCAUAUCUAGUCCAGAUCCAAGAGUAAAUAGUCUUGACUCUCUCUCCCACUCAAGUUGGGGCUGCAGAUACCUGAUAUGCGAACAUGUUAGAGCAUGGAUGGGCCAUUCAUAUGUAGAGGGAAUCACAGCAGAUCCUAGUCAGAUAUAAGGAUCCUGGAUAAUAUUUGUUAAGAUAAGAUAUUGGUAAGAUUUUUUUUAAAUUUCAGACACCACAAAGUAGCAUUCAACUGUAUAAUGGAGGCUGAUGCCAUUGUCUGCUGCUUUUUGUAGUCAAUAGUUCCUGUUUGCUUGGGCAGAACAGGAGGCUUUUGGAUCUAUGGUUCCCAAAGCUUUCUACCAUUGGGGAUUUCCUCACCUCAGGUCUGGAUCUGAUUGCAGGCUGAUAGAGAUUGAUUACCAUGAUCAGCCAACAACUCGAGUGCUGUUGUAGCAUGCGAUGACCAGGAUGGUGAAAGUCAAUCUAGAUGGACCAUAGUCUUUCCUUGUCUAGCGAUUCCUAUGAUAAGCCAUCCAACACGUCAGCAUUACAAAGCAUUAUGUGAAUUUGAAUUGUACCACUGCAUCCCAUCCUACCCUUCUACAUAAACCAGUCAAAGGAAAGCAGACACAGUCGCUUUUUUUGAUUUUGAUUUUAUCUGUGUGACCAGAUGCCGGAAACCUCAAAGAAAAGUGCCUCAUGGACGUAUAAAGGUAUACAAAAUACAUGACUGGACAGAGAUACUCUCUUUUCCCAUGCAAGUCGAUGAAAAGAUGGAAAGAAAUAUGCAGGCCACAAAACACCAAGUUUAUGAACAGAAGUAGUGAAUUUUCAAACUGUUAAAUGUUGAUAAAUUACCAAACAGGUUGAGUCUCUUUGAUUACAGAUUUUCUGGCGUAUUCUAUACUUUACAUGUACCUUUUCAGGCAUUACAAGUGCAAAUGUGGUCAUUAGUGAACAGUAAAUUCAAAAAUAUUUCUUUCACUUAAAGGAAAAUCCAAACUGUCCAAUUCUCUUUGCCCUUCCCCUCCUCUCCUGAAGUCAUGCCUCCAUCGCCUUCUGGGACAGGAUUUUCAGCUCGGCAUGCGGAUGCACGCCCAACAAACACAAGCGUGAAACAGCGCGCGAUAUCUCGGUCGGCGGGC